rnacentral:rRNA from 1 species
GAUGAACGCUGGCGGCGUGCUUAACACAUGUAAGUCGAACGGAAAGGCCCAAGCUUGCUUGGGUACUCGAGUGGCGAACGGGUGAGUAACACGUGGGUGAUCUGCCCUGCACUUCGGGAUAAGCCUGGGAAACUGGGUCUAAUACCGGAUAGGACGAUGGUUUGGAUGCCAUUGUGGAAAGUUUUUUCGGUGUGGGAUGAGCUCGCGGCCUAUCAGCUUGUUGGUGGGGUAAUGGCCUACCAAGGCGUCGACGGGUAGCCGGCCUGAGAGGGUGUACGGCCACAUUGGGACUGAGAUACGGCCCAGACUCCUACGGGAGGCAGCAGUGGGGAAUAUUGCACAAUGGGCGCAAGCCUGAUGCAGCGACGCCGCGUGGGGGAUGACGGCCUUCGGGUUGUAAACUCCUUUCGCUAGGGACGAAGCGUUUUUGUGACGGUACCUGGAGAAGAAGCACCGGCUAACUACGUG